rnacentral:rRNA from 1 species
AUACGUAGGGCGCAAGCGUUGUCCGGAAUUAUUGGGCGUAAAGAGCUCGUAGGCGGCUUGUCACGUCGGUUGUGAAAGCCCGGGGCUUAACCCCGGGUCUGCAGUCGAUACGGGCAGGCUAGAGUUCGGUAGGGGAGAUCGGAAUUCCUGGUGUAGCGGUGAAAUGCGCAGAUAUCAGGAGGAACACCGGUGGCGAAGGCGGAUCUCUGGGCCGAUACUGACGCUGAGGAGCGAAAGCGUGGGGAGC